CUCAGCUUAAAUGUUGGGAACAGGCUGGAAGUCUAUUUAAUAAAUAUCCCAUGAUUGCCAACAUCUGAGGAAUGCGGGAUGCUGAGGGGAGUUCACGUCCACCUUUCCAUCCGGGAACGCAGAUUUUAAGCCCAAGCGGUCAAGAAUGAGAGGAAUGAGGGAAUGAGUGGCCUUGGAAUGGAGCCUGGGUUUAGAAUGAAGCUUCCUCCGCUGGGAUCUAUAUUUCAGCCUGGUGAUAUUGGGCACUGAAGACACAGGCUCUACCAGUGUUGUGGGGAAGAAGAGGUUGUAG
rnacentral:lncRNA from 1 species